rnacentral:rRNA from 12 species
GACUCAGUGAAAUCGAAAUCGCAGUGAAGAUGCUGUGUACCCGCGGCUAGACGGAAAGACCCCAUGAACCUUUACUGUAGCUUUGUAUUGGACUUUGAACGGAUCUGUGUAGGAUAGGUGGGAGGCUUUGAAGCAGGCACGCCAGUGUCUGUGGAGCCAUCCUUGAAAUACCACCCUGGUAAUGUUGGGGUUCUAACUCAAGCUUAACAGAGCUGAGGACAAUGUAUGGUGGGUAGUUUGACUGGGGCGGUCUCCUCCUAAAGAGUAACGGAGGAGUACGAAGGUGCGCUCAGAACGGUCGGAAAUCGUUCGAAGAGUAUAAAGGCAAAAGCGCGCUUAACUGCGAGACCCACAAGUCGAGCAGAUACGAAAGUAGGUCUUAGUGAUCCGGUGGUUCUGUAUGGAAGGGCCAUCGCUCAACGGAUAAAAGGUACUCUGGGGAUAACAGGCUGAUACCGCCCAAGAGUUCAUAUCGACGGCGGUGUUUGGCACCUCGAUGUCGGCUCAUCUCAUCCUGGGGCUGAAGCAGGUCCCAAGGGUAUGGCUGUUCGCCAUUUAAAGUGGUACGCGAGCUGGGUUUAGAACGUCGUGAGACAGUUUGGUCCCUAUCUGCCGUGGGCGUUGGAAAUUUGAAGGGGGCUGCUCCUAGUACGAGAGGACCGGAGUGGACGAACCUCUGGUGUUCCGGUUGUCACGCCAGUGGCAUUGCCGGGUAGCUAUGAACGGACAGGAUAACCGCUG